rnacentral:rRNA from 1 species
UACAGGGGGUGCAAACGUUGCUCGGAAUCAUUGGGCGUAAAGCGCACGUAGGCGGCAUCGUAAGUCCGAUGUGAAAGCCCCAGGCUCAACCUGGGAAGUGCAUUGGAUACUGCGGAGCUUGAAUCUGGAAGAGGGUCGCGGAAUUCCCGGUGUAGAGGUGAAAUUCGUAGAUAUCGGGAGGAACACCAGUGGCGAAGGCGGCGACCUGGGCCAAGAUUGACGCUGAGGUGCGAAAGCGUGGGGAGCAAACAGG